rnacentral:rRNA from 1 species
ACUGCUCAGUAACACGUAGUCAACAUGCCCAGAGGACUUGGAUAACCUCGGGAAACUGAGGAUAAACCAGGAUAGAUCAUAAUAUCUGGAAUGAUUUAUGGUUCAAAUCUAUAUGGCCUCUGGAUUGGACUGCGGCCGAUCAGGCUGUUGGUGAGGUAAUGGCCCACCAAACCUGAAACCGGUACGGGCUCUGAGAGGAGAAGCCCGGAGAUGGGCACUGAGACAAGGGCCCAGGCCCUAUGGGGCGCAGCAGGCGCGAAAUCUUUGCAAUAGGCGAAAGCCUGACAAGGUUACUCUGAGUGAUUUCCGAUAAGGAGAUCUUUUGACACCUCUAAAAAUGGUGUAGAAUAAGGGGUGGGCAAGCCUGGUGUCAGCCGCCGCGGUAAUACCAGCACCCCGAGUGGUCGGGACGAUUAUUGGGCCUAAAGCAUCCGUAGCCGGUUCUUUAAGUCCUCCGUUAAAUCCAUCUGCUUAACAGAUGGGCUGCGGAGGAUACUAUAGAGCUAGGAGGCGGGAGAGGCAAGCGGUACUCAGUGGGUAGGGGUAAAAUCCGUUGAUCCAUUGAAGACCACCAGUGGCGAAGGCGGCUUGCCAGAACGCGCUCGACGGUGAGGGACGAAAGCUGGGGGAGCGAACCGGAUUAGAUACCCGGGUAGUCCCAGCUGUAAACGAUGCGGGCUAGGUGUUGGGGUGGCUACGUGCCACUUCAGUGCCGCAGGGAAGCCAUUAAGCCCGCCGCCUGGGGAGUACGGCCGCAAGGCUGAAACUUAAAGGAAUUGGCGGGGGAGCAC